CCGCUGACCCAGGACGCGGGCCGCAAGAGCGAGGCGCCGGGCGCGGGGCGCAGGCAGAGCUACGCGAGCUCCAGCCGAGCCCCAUCUUUACAGUACCAGGAAAGAAGAAGAAGAAGAAGAAGAAGAAGAAGAAGAAGAAGAAGAAGAAGAAGAAGAAGAAGAAGAAGAAGAAGAAAGAAAGAAAGAAAAGAAAAAACCACAACAACAAAAAACAGGCAAGAAGCAACGUGGCAAGUAAAAAUAAAGUGAAAAAAACAAAACACUGCGAAUCCCUAAUUUAACGAGGCUUUUGGGGACUCGAGGGAGCUGUGAGCCUUGUGACAUAACUGUUGUUAGGAACCCUUUUCCAGCAUCUCCAUAUUCUAUGCGUGCCAGCAGCUUACGCACCAUACAUCACUAGAGCUGCCCUCACAGGGCUGAGUACCAUGUUCUUGGUGCCAGUGCACGAGGCUCUCAGGGCCCGGCCAACCGAAGAGAAAAGAAAUGGAAACCAGAGGAUAGGGUUAACAUGGAGAAUCUGGGGUGGGAUUGAGGGACAAGCCCGGGGAGCCCAGCUGAGAGUGACUGCAGCAUCGAUUAACAGGGCCUGUCUGGCUCUGCAACCUACAGGGAGGCUAAAGCUGCGGAAACCUCCGCUUUGGAACUGUGUCUCCUCCCUCUUCUCACCAGUCCCUGCUGAUUCACUUUCUGGAAGGUUCUCUCACCCAGGGGUAUGGCAGCUUUUCCAGAGAUGAAUUUUCAGAUCACCCUCUAUGGCGAAUGAAUGAUGGUUUCUCUGGCUGGGAGAAAAAUCUUUUGCCAGAGGGAUGGGAUGAUUUUUUUUUUUUUUUUAACUAAAGAACUUUAACUUUCUGGUAAAUUGCUCAUAAAACCAUUUAUAAUUAUACCCUUUAAAAUGCAAUGGAAUAAUUUUAGAAAAUGCAUUUCAUGAUAGUUAGGAUAACCUUUCUGUUGCUUCAUCCUAAUUUCUUAUAAAGAAUUGAAUUAUUAAUCCAGAAUUCAAGGCCGGAGUGGCUAAAACACUUUUGGCACACCCUCUGUCUGUUUUCCAAAAUACAUUGGUAUUGUAAGGGGUCCUGAACUUUCGAAAAUGCCUGUUUCUGACACCACAGUGUGGCUGGUGCCCGUGCAGAAGCUGGUUAGGGCAACACUCCUCCUCCUGACUGCUUAGGGCACAAAAGUAGGUGUGUGUGGGGGGGCGCAGUACACUCCUUUGAUGCCAAACAGACUCCUAAAGUGGGAUGGAGAGGCGUGAGGAUGUUAAUAGCCAGAAUUGUAUCUGUGGAUGACAAUGUCCAGAGGACUUGUGGAGACAGCUUAAUCGCUUUUGGAAACAAAGUCACCUAGGUCUGAAGUUAAUCUUCCGAAUGCAAGUACGAAAACCCCAUGGGCCUUUCUCUGGUCAAUGUCAGAUAAAGGGGCACAGUUUUAUUUUCCUUUCAAGUCAGCAUUGUUGUGCAUUUAGGAACUUGCUGUGUGACGUUGGAAAGACUCACUGAGUUGGAGGUUUUUGACAAUUACAUGCACAUAACAUGAACUCCAUUUUUAAAAUGGUACUGCGAGUGUGCACUGUCGUGUGUGGGCAUCUGUGUGCGUGAAUGUGUGCGCCUGGGGAGCGAGAGGUCAACGUCAGGUGUCUUCCCCAAUUGCCGUCCAGUUUAUUUUCAUUUUAUUUUGACUUUGAUUCUUCCCUCUUCCAUUACAUCCCGAUGGCAGUUCCCCUCCCUCCACGCCUCCCAACCCUUCCUCUACUCUGUCUUUGAGAUAGGGUCUUUGACUGGACUUAAGAGUUCAGUGAUUCCGCUAAGCUGGUUGGCCAGUGAGUUCCAGGGAUCCUCCUGUUCCUGCCCCCCCCCCCCCAGAGUGUUGGGAUUACAGGUAUGUGCUUCCACACCUGGCUUUUGUACAUGUGUUCUGGGCACGUUACCAACCGAGCCAGCUCCCCAGCCCUCAUGUUCUGUGAAUUCGUACAGCAUGGUUUUUCAAAGACUUCUCAUCCUUUCCCUGGCGUCUCUCCCACUCUGACCACCAUGCUCCUUCUUAGCCUCUGUGGGAACUUCUGGGUUUUAGGAGGCAAAAUACAAAACUGUAUUUUAGAGGUGUGUGUAGGCUUGUGUGUGGGUGUGCGCGUGUGCUCACGUGUGAAUGUGUGUGUUUAUGCCCUGAUAUGACACCCUCUACCCCUCUGUCCUUCACUGUCUAUAUCUUCUAGGAGAUGACAAACAGCUUUGUAAAGAGGUGUCUUCCACUCCUUCAUGGAGAUCCCUGAUCCAACCGUCAGGGUGAAUUAUCAGUUCUUCCAGAGCAAGGAGAAUUUGAGCUUGAAAGAGCUUCAGCUGCUAGAGCAUAUACUAACCUAGAAUGUAGAAUACGUUUCCAAGCCCCAAAUCUCCAUUGCUCUUGAUUUAGACUAGCGGCCCCUUCCUUCCUCACUCUCCCUCCCUCUGUGUGUGUGUGUCUCUCCCUUUUAUAUUUACUUUUAAUGCCUGAUGCAUCGUGGGAAAUGUUGUUUAGAGCUAAGCCGUUAAAACUUUUCAACUAAAUUAUAUAGUAAUAUCAUUGUGUAUUUUUUAGAUUGAUGCUUAAAAAUAACGCAGAUGAUAAGUGUUUGAGUUGUGGCUGCUAUAGAAUAAACCUGAAGGUACCAAGGCAUUGUCAAUGAAUUGAUUCUUCUGUCUGACACUAGAUUAACCCAUGUAUUUUUUUUUUUGUCUUUUUGAGUAAGUUUUUUUUUUUCUUUUCUUUUUUUAAGCUGUAUGGUUUCCUUUCCUAUCCUAGAGAGAGUAUCAGGAAGGUAAUUGAAUCUUCCCUUGGAGUUUCAGAGUCUGACGGUGCUGUGGGGUCACUGUUCUGAGCUUGAAUUCUGAUUGUACAUUACAGAACUGAAAAUGGAGCUGGUGUCUGAGAUCAGCCCAGGUCUGUCUUGAUCCCGCCUGGAAAUGGUUUCUGGUUUUCUUUCUGUGAAAUCCUUAGCAGGACAAUUUGCUUCCUUCUUUUCUGUGUUGCAGGAAGCAAGUCAAAAAUUCAACUAGUCGUUCAGCCAGAAUCUGAAAUCUUUUUGUUUGUUUGUGUACUUAUUUGCUUAUUUGAGACAGGGUCUCACCACGUAGCCUAGAUCUCAGAGUGAUCCCCCUGCCUCUGCCUUGAGCGUACUCAGAUUCCAGUGGUCUCCUAGAGUCUUCUUCUCUUCCUAAAACGAUGUUUCUCAACCUUCCUAAUGCUAUGACCCUUUAAAAUAGUUCCUCAUGUUGUGGUGACCCCCCCACCAUAAAAUUAUGUCAUUGCUUCUUCAUAACUGUAAUUUUGCUACCAUUAGGAAUUGUAAUGUAAAUGUCUGAUAUGCAGGAUAUCUGGUAUGCCACCCUCAAAGGGACUGCGACCCACAGGUUGAAAACUGCUACCCUAGAGUUAUCGAAGGUGCACAGUCCUUAAGUAUUCAGGGAGGCAAUUUAUUUUCGAGUCCUGUAAUGCAGCUUCCUCUCAGGUAAUAGGGGUGGAAACUACCAGUAACUCAACCAUUCCUUUGGAGGUGUUGGCAGCGUCUGUUUGAUAGGGGGCUCAUACACCUGGAAGAUCAGGAAACUCCAAGGUUCAAGUGCGUGGGAAAGAAUAUUUAGAGCUGCCCAGAGGAAGCCCUUUCCAAGCUAUGGCCUUUGGGAAGUGUUUCUGGACCUCAUCCCACUGUCACGCUUAAUGUUAAUCAUUGAUUAGCUUCUGCUGCCUCUGAUGUCAGUGGGUUGGGAUUCAUGGUGUUAGGAUAGCCAAUUAUAUUAUUAUUAUUUAUUGACUAUUUUUGGUAAAGGCAUCAAGGGGAUUGUUCAAAGAAAUCGUUUUAAGAGAGGAAGCAGAUGCGAUAAGGAAUGAAGGCACCACAGCUCACUGCGUAGGUAGACUGGCCUUCAGCCCCAGCUCUUCAGAGCCAAUGCUGAAAGGAAUGAUAGGAACAGUCCGCUCUUGAAGGAGGAACGAUUCUCCCCCAGCAGGUUUUUAUGGCUUUCAUGACAUGACAGUAUUACAAAUUGUGUCACCAUGUCACAUGAGAUGGUGUGUCCUAGUGACUGGUUUAUCUAUAAAACCUGAGUCCUGGUGCCUGGCUGGGGAGCCCUGUACUCAGCGAUGCUGAGAACACAGGUUUCCCAUACCUUCAAAGGUGGAGGAGGACCCCAGGCUAUCUCAGGGUGAAUUUCUAUCUGUUUUCCCCACCAGAGGCUGUGAGCGAGACAGAAACGUCAUGAUACACUAGGCGUAUUAUCUCUCAUGUGGUGUCGUCCUUGUGCGACUGGGUGUUGGCUCUUGUGAUUCAAAUUGCCUUAAACUGUCCUAAAGUAAGAAAGAAGUUUCUUCAUGCAGGCUGAAGUCAUGGUAGAUGAAGUCUUCUGAGGUGCAAGGAAAGGGCACCACCACUUAGGGUUUUAGAUCCUCGAGCCAGUGAACAAGGCAUGCACUGUUAAAAAUACACAGCUUACUCCAAGGGAGGACUUGACUGGAUCCUGAUGGAGUUUAUGAAAUAUGAAUACAGUGGAUCACUGUACAUAAGUGGUAGGUGUGUGUGUGUGGAAGAAGAAGAAAUAAAAUUGUGUAUAAAUGACACUCUGAAACUUGAUGGAAUUGUACACGUGACAGGAAUGGUGACGUGUGGGUCCGUGCUUCACAGGGAGAAAGAGAAGCAGACUGAAAAAUCCAUCUGUCAAACCUGAUGUGGGACUAGAAAUUAUAGAGUAGAAAAAUCAGUUGACUUGUUUCAUAGGCAAAGAACAUCAUCAAGGAUAAACAGGAAGCUUGAAAAGAAUAGAGGUGGAAUUUUUGGGAAGGGGGGACCAUACCCCCACCCGGAAAAAGAAAACCAAACCAAAACAAAACAAAAGCUAGAGGCCAAUGUUUGAAUGCAGAGUGAGGCAUGCCAAACCCAUCUUCAGCAUUCUGGGCUAUUAACCAUUGUGGUGUUAGGUGUUGGGCUUAUAGCCAUAGAGAAGACAAUACUAUGAGUUUUCAGCUGUGUAAAGAAAUCACCUUGAUAUUCCCCAAGCAUAUGUGUGUGUGUGUGUGUGUGUGUGUGUGUGUGUGUGUGUGUGUAUAGAUAGAUGGAUGGAUGGAUAGAUAGAUAGAUACAUUGACUUGGAGAUGUACAUGAUGUCAUUUUCCCUGCCUUGUUCUGAUUAAUUGACAGCCUAUACUAUAUGCUUCUUUCUUGAAGGUGACUUUACAAUUUCUAGGCACAGACAUGUCUCGCUGAAGUGAAGGAAGGACCCACAAGCUAAGUGUGUUUCAC